rnacentral:rRNA from 1 species
UACGAAGGGUGCAAGCGUUACUCGGAAUUACUGGGCGUAAAGCGUGCGUAGGUGGUUCGUUAAGUCUGAUGUGAAAGCCCUGGGCUCAACCUGGGAAUGGCAUUGGAUACUGGCGGGCUAGAGUGCGGUAGAGGGCAGUGGAAUUCCCGGUGUAGCAGUGAAAUGCGUAGAGAUCGGGAGGAACACCAGUGGCGAAGGCGGCUACCUGGACCAGCACUGACACUGAGGCACGAAAGCGUGGGGAGCAAACAGGG